rnacentral:rRNA from 1 species
UACGUAGGGUGCAAGCGUUAAUCGGAAUUAAUGGGCGUAAAGCGUGCGCAGGCGGUUAUAUAAGUCAAAUGGGAAAUCCCUGGGCUCAACCUAGGAACUGCAUUUGAGACUGUAUAGCUAGAGUGUGUCAGAGGGGGGUAGAAUUCCACGUGUAGCAGUGAAAUGCGUAGAGAUCGGGAGGAACAUCAGUGGCGAAGGCGGCCAUCUGGGACAACACUGACGCUGAAGCACGAAAGCGUGGGGAGCAAACAGG